CAGCCGCUCCCCGUUUGCUGCUGGGUCUUACGAAGUUCUCAUAUCCAUCAUACAGUUUCUUUGUCACACUGUCCGCGGCACGCCAGUCCCUAUGACAGAAAGCACCUGCGGUCUGUCUGGAGGCGGAGUUGGUGGCGGAGAGAAAAAGUUCUGGAGACACCUGGUUGGGAGCAGGCUAAGGAAACAAAUGGGGAGGAAUUAGCCACAAAUCCUCAAAUAGACAGCUACUCAAAGGCAUCUUCACGGACAAUUUCCAAGCAUUGGAUGCAGUGGUGCAUUCUUGCAUUGGGCAGUGAUUGUGUGCACACAUCUCUUUAAGGGAGAGUGGAAAUGGGGUGAGGAGGAAAAUGGGAGUAGGAUAGAGUGUAGCGUUGACAUUUAUUUUCUUUAAAGGAAGACCCGAGCAUACCUGAGAGCUCAGUGAAGAAAGUAGUUCUGGCGAAUCGGAUUAAUAUGCACCACUGAAACUUGACCUUCGGCCGGCGCGGUGGCUCACGCCUGUAAUCCCAGCACUUUGGGAGGCCGAGAUGGGCGGAUCACGAGGUCAGAAGAUCGAGACCAUCCUGGCUAACACGGUGAAACCCCGUCUCUACUAAAAAUACAAAAAAAUUAGCCGAGCGUGGUGGCGGGCUCCUGUAGUCCCAGCUACUUGGGAGGCUGAGGCAGGAGAAUGGCGUGAACCCGGGAGGCGGAGCUUGCGGUAAGCCGAGAUCGCGCCACUGCACUCCAGCCUGGGCGACUGAGCACGACUCCGUCUCAAAAAAAAAAAAAAAAAAACAAAAAAAAAACUUGACCUUCAUUAUAUCUCACUGCCCUCAUCCCAAACAUUUCCUCUCCCAGUUUUCCAGGAAACGGCAUCGCUGCCCAUCUCUUUUCAGGCCCCAACCCUGGAGAAGAACCUAAAUUUCUCAUUUCCUCACUACCUACCUCCAGUCCUUCAGCAGGUCCCGUUGGUUGGGCUGCUAAACUAUGGGCUAAAUCCUUUCAGUACUUUCCAUGCCCACAGCUACCACUCUGGUCCAAGCCAAAUUCUUAGUUCCCCUGGACUUCUUACUGCAGUAGCCUCUCAGCUUCCACUCUUGGCAAAAUCAAUUUUAUAAAACCUUGAAAUCCCUUAAUACCACUCGUCUGCUUAAACCUCGGCAUCCCACAUUUACCACUAUCAGGAAGGAUCACGUUUGUUUGUUUGCUGUCUCAUUCCCCCAUUUAUAUGUGAAUUCCACGGGUAAGGGCCUGCUCCUACAUCCCACACCUCUACAUCCACAGAGCCUAGAGACCGCAGGCGCGGGGAAAGCACUCCACGACCAUCACUGGCCAGGCCACAAGAGUGCUGGAUCUAAAUUUGGAACCGGACUUUCAGAGCUGAAAUAAACCUGAGGUUUUCCAGGGGCUUUUAACCUCCUUUUACAGCCAAGGAUGCGCCUAAGAAAGGGGAGAGGCUUCCGUGACUUCCUGCAGUAACGCAGCCACUAGAGAUUGAGACUACAACGACUUGGGAGUCUAAAAGUCUGCAACCUUUUCCACUCCAGAGCUCAAUGUUUCCUCAAUCCCCCGGGAUCGGCAUCAGCAAAAACCCGGAGAAGCGGAGCCUUUCUCAAAGAAAAUGACCUCCAGACUCAUGCUACCAUCUCGACCGGUGCAAGUAUCACGCAUGCGCAGGGCCGGCCGCCCGGCCGCACCUCGCCAACUCCUACUCGGACACGUCAUCUAGGUCGGCCUGGGUCUGGUGGGAGGGGCCGGGGGCGGGGCUCGUACGCGGGGCGAAGUGGUCCCCCUACUUCCGGAUCCGGCCUCACCUGGCCAACGCCUCAUUCGGGGUUCCUUGGUUACGUGGCUGCGGUGUCUACCCGGUGCUGGGGCGUGGCGGAGAGAGACCGCCCCGCCCUCCACGCAGGCCACAAAAUGGAGGCCCUGCCCUGUGGGCUUUUGUGGCCUGGGCGCUGUCGUGCCGAAAGACGAAAGUGACAAUUCCAGUUGCAAACUGGAAAGAAAUGGAGUUUUUCCUUCAUUCUCCCCAUGAUCGUGACGGUCCUUUUCUCAAAGUACUAAUACUUUUA
rnacentral:lncRNA from 1 species